CCCCACCAGGGGAAUAGCCCGCCGAAAGGCGGAUUAAUGCCCCAUAGGCCCAGGGCGCCGCAUGGCGCUAUGGGUAAAGCUCCGGCGGAUGGGGAUGGGCAUGCGUGCCAUUAGCUAGUUGGGGCGGUAACGGCGCACCAAGGCGACGAUGGCUAGGGGGUCUGAGAGGAUGGUCCCCCACACUGGUACUGAGACACGGACCAGACUCCUACGGGAGGCAGCAGUGAGGAAUAUUGGUCAAUGGGCGGAAGCCUGAACCAGCCAUGCCCGCGUGCAGGAUGACGGCCCUACGGGUUGUAAACUGCUUUUCCCCGGGAAGAAUAAGCCCCUCGUGAGGGGUGAUGCCGGUACCGGGGGAAUAAGGAUCGGCUAACUCCGUGCCAGCAGCAGC
rnacentral:rRNA from 1 species